GAUGAACGCUGGCGGCGUGCCUAAUACAUGCAAGUCGAGCGAACAGACGAGGAGCUUGCUCCUCUGACGUUAGCGGCGGACGGGUGAGUAACACGUGGAUAACCUACCUAUAAGACUGGGAUAACUUCGGGAAACCGGAGCUAAUACCGGAUAAUAUAUUGAACCGCAUGGUUCAAUAGUGAAAGACGGUUUUGCUGUCACUUAUAGAUGGAUCCGCGCCGCAUUAGCUAGUUGGUAAGGUAACGGCUUACCAAGGCAACGAUGCGUAGCCGACCUGAGAGGGUGAUCCGCCACACUGGAACUGAGACACGGUCCAGACUCCGACGGGAGGCAGAGGUAGGGAAUCUUCCGCGAUGGGCGAAAGCCUGACGGAGCAACGCCGCGUGAGUGAUGAAGGUCUUCGGAUCGUAAAACUCUGUUAUUAGGGAAGAACAAAUGUGUAAGUAACUAUGCACGUCUUGACGGUACCUAAUCAGAAAGCCACGGCUAACUACGUG
rnacentral:rRNA from 1 species